rnacentral:lncRNA from 1 species
AGUGACGCGCAGGCCCGGGACCCCGGGGGCGGGCGGUGGACCCCCAGCUGGCAGAGCCUGGGGCGGGGGCCUGAGGUGGCGUGGACCGCUUCUUCCCCCGCGGUCGCCCGGGCUGGCGCUCGCGUGCCCAUCGCUGAGAUAGUGGGAGGUGGAGUGGGAACCGCUAGCUUUGCAGAACGCAGAGUCCCUCCUCACCCUGGCGGUCCCGGUGCCCUGGAGUGCAGUCGCGGAAUACUGUUCAGCGGCUCGGGUGGUUUUCCUUGCGUCCCGCCACGCGGCGGCUCCUCACUAAAAGGCUGCCUUCUCCCCACAGCUCCAGGUCCGAGAGGAGCCGCACCGUCGGGUUGGAGAUCGCGCGCAAGGGUGGCCUCUGGGUCUGCAUCUGCCCCGCAUCGGCCACAGGAAAAGCCUGGUCCCUAGGCACGGUCGUGGUUCGAGCUUUUCGUUCUCUCGCACAUUGAGGUAUUCGCUCAGCCCACCACGUUGUCCUCGGGGUUAUUAGGCCCCAGUCACAAGCCCUAUGAUGUUUUCAGACUUCCCAGGUGGAGAUAAAGGAAAAUUUUACUAUUUCUGCAGAACUUCUGUUGAUGUACAGCAUUGUAUUUAGCAACUUCUGUGUAGAUCUGAAAAUAAAUACAUUACCAAUUGUUA